ACUCCUUUAGCUUAGUGGUAGAGCAUCAGAUUUUUAAUCUGAGGGUCAUGGGUUCGAGUCCCAUAAGGAGUA
rnacentral:tRNA from 1 species